UUCUGAUCUUGCUCAUAUUUUGUUAAAUUAGUACUAAGUGUCACUUGUUUCUGUUUUAACUGAUAUUUUAGAUGGCACUCUUGAAAGAGGCAAGGUUAUUUCUAAAAUGAGAGGUUGACAAAGGCGCUGUUAAUGUUAGCUGAGCACAGAAGGAGAGACUCAAUAAGCAACAACUCAGAGUGGGGACAAAGCAGAGUCCAAUUCGCCUGAGCUCAUCAUGGAUGUGUAUGUGUGAGUGAAAGGAGGAAAGGAGAUGAAAGAAGGAAAGAACAGAAAGAGGACAGGGAUGGGGAAAUGUAGAAGGAGAGAUAGGAGGAAAGAGAAUGCAGGGAUAGUUAAAAACCUCAUGGGAAGAAUAAAGGUUCAAGACUUAUCACAUCUAUCUGCACAUGCACUGAGAGUGAGCAAACAACCACGAUGGGCAACACAUGCAGAUCUAGCAGCCAGCACAGGAGCCAGUGAUGAGGAGAGCCAGUUAAUCCGCUCAGAUAAAGUAGAGGCAUGAGGCCAUGCACAUCCUACCUUCUUUCAUCAUGAAAAUGCAGAACAUGUCCAACACUGGACGUGUGUCAGGCCCUGUGCUGAACACUUCACACGUAUCACCUCCUGCAAACCUCCAGGCAACCCUGUUAGGAAGGUUUUGUUAUUCACUCAUUGUUCAGGGACAGGCCAUGAGCCAUGUAGAGGAUGGGUAGCAUGCCCAGG
rnacentral:lncRNA from 1 species